GACGUAGGGGGCCAGCGUUGUUCGGAAUUACUGGGCGUAAAGGGCUCGUAGGCGGUGUGGCAAGUCGGGUGUGAAAUCUCCAGGCUCAACUUGGAGGCUGCUUCCGAAACUGCCGCGCUAGAGUGCGGGAGAGGCCAGUGGAAUUGCAGGUGUAGCGGUGAAAUGCGCAGAUAUCAGGAGGAACACCGGUGGCGAAGGCGGGUCUCUGGGCCGAAACUGACGCUGAGGAGCGAAAGCGUGGGGAGCAAACAGG
rnacentral:rRNA from 1 species